UACGUAGGGUCCGAGCGUUGUCCGGAAUUACUGGGCGUAAAGAGCUCGUAGGUGGUUUGUCGCGUUGUUCGUGAAAACUCACAGCUUAACUGUGGGCGUGCGGGCGAUACGGGCAGACUAGAGUACUGCAGGGGAGACUGGAAUUCCUGGUGUAGCGGUGGAAUGCGCAGAUAUCAGGAGGAACACCUGAGGUGAAGACGGGUUGCUGGGCUGAUACUGACGCUGAGGCGCGAAAGCUAGGGGAGCGAACGGG
rnacentral:rRNA from 1 species